rnacentral:rRNA from 1 species
AUGCACGAAGAUACAAGGCACACUAUCAAGCGCCAAGUACAACGACUAGCGUCCAAGCUCAACGUCCACAAGCAACCCAUGAUCUUCAAUAUUGGCGAUCUCGUGUGGCUACACCUUCGCAAGGACCGCUUCCCCAACGAACGCAAGUCCAAACUUCUACCUCGAGCCGAUGGACCCUUCAAGGUGCUAGCACGCUACAACAAUGCCUACAAGAUCGACCUCCCACGAGAUGAGUACAACGUGAGCGACAUCUUCAACGUCAAGGACCUCUCGCCAUACCAUGGUGAUGGCACUUUCGAUCCGAGGUCGGAUCUUUCCCAGGGGGGAGAUGAUGCGGAGCAUCCCUCGCUCAUCCCCAUGGACGUACCUACAUCUCCCUCGACACCACUUGGACCCAUGACAAGAGCUCGAGCAAAGGCUAUCGAAGAUAAGGUGAACUCGCUCCUCUCUGAACUUCCUCUUUCUACUCACGAGACAUGGCUACUACCUCAUGCGGAAACUCUGUGUGUGAUCAGGUGCUUGGAGGAGAGCCACGGAACAGCUACAUGCAAUGGCCAAGGCGGCGAGGACACCAAGCGUGAAGAUCAAGAAGAAGAGUUGCUUUGGAAGCUAUAG